rnacentral:rRNA from 1 species
GAUGAACGCUGGCGGCGUGCCUAAUACAUGCAAGUCGAGCGAACGGACGAGAAGCUUGCUUUUCUGAUGUUAGCGGCGGACGGGUGAGUAACACGUGGAUAACCUACCUAUAAGACUGGGAUAACUUCGGGAACCCGGAGCUAAUACCGGAUAAUAUUUUGAACCGCAUGGUUCAAAAGUGAAAGACGGUCUUGCUGUCACUUAUAGAUGGAUCCGCGCUGCAUUAGCUAGUUGGUAAGGUAACGGCUUACCAAGGCAACGAUGCAUAGCCGACCUGAGAGGGUGAUCGGCCACACUGGAACUGAGACACGGUCCAGACUCCUACGGGAGGCAGCAGUAGGGAAUCUUCCGCAAUGGGCGAAAGCCUGACGGAGCAACGCCGCGUGAGUGAUGAAGGUCUUCGGAUCGUAAAACUCUGUUAUUAGGGAAGAACAUAUGUGUAAGUAACUGUGCACAUCUUGACGGUACCUAAUCAGAAAGCCACGGCUAACUACGUG